AGCGUUGUUCGGAAUUACUGGGCGUAAAGCGCACGUAGGCGGCUACUCAAGUCAGAGGUGAAAUCCCAGAGCUCAACUCUGGAACUGCCUUUGAUACUGGGUGUCUUGAGUGUGAUAGAGGUAUGUGGAACUCCGAGUGUAG
rnacentral:rRNA from 1 species